ensembl:lncRNA
CAUGACGCAAGAUCAGGCCAUGUGACGUGGGCCUAUGAACUGAGAUUACGAAGUCUGGACUGAGGAGGCGGAGUUGAGGGAGGAUAUAAGGGAGUGUGCUCGGGGGCUGGGAGGAAGAGAGAAGAAAAGAAAGAUUGCUGCUUGCAUGCCGGAAGAAAGGAGCCCUAUUUCAGUGUCUGUUAACAGACCCACCCAGUAGCAAACACAGGAACUCAGGCACUGGAAGCACAUGAAGGAGGGAAGGUUAAGCAUUCAGAAGAUUGGAUGUCAUCCUGUCGAGUGUUUACUCUGUGUUCUGGAAUUAGUUAAUGUCACAUUGACUCUCACCACACCUUGUUCUCAGGCUGCCACAUAGUCCAGAACUCACGGGCUCUCUGGUCCAGGCUCCACCAUCAGAACAUCAUAGAUUCUGUGCUUAUCUGUGAACACAAGGACAUCUGUGCCCCAGCACAGGAACAGCAAUCCUGAUGAAGACACCUGUGAACCACGCCUGUCAAGUAAUUUUUCUGUUCCUUCUUUGAUCAAUAGACUUUCCUGAAUACUCUCUAUGCACUGUAAACGGAGUAUAAAUCUGAAUAUGUUAGUGGUCAUUAUUCUCUAACAAUCCCUCUGCUUGUGCUGGUUUCUUACAUGAGCCCUAUUUCAGUGUCUGUUAAUGGACCCACCCAGUAGGAAACACAGGGACUCAGGCACUGGAAGCACAUGAAGGACUGAACUUUAAGCCUUCAGAAGAUCCCAUGCCAUCCAUACGAGGGUUUACUCUGUGUUCUGGAAUUAGUUAAUGACAAAAGCUCAUUGACUCUCCCCAUACCUUGGUAAAUCAUGUAGGAUUGCUUUGGUCUGUGUGCUUAGGUGAGGACACAGCUCACGCCUAAUGUCAUCACAAUAAGAUGUGUGCCUGCAACACACUGAUGUCAGAGACUACAGGAGAAAGGCUGCUCUCAAACAUUCCUACCAUCAUCACAAAGAGAGCAAGGCCCAGUCAUCAAUGACUAAUUGUUCUGCAUAAUUUUUGAGUGUAUACAUUUCACAAGAUUAUUAAAAGUAAAAAUAUUUUUGGUAGUAAG